GCUGCGGUGGCCGAGUGGUCUAAGGCGGUAGAUUUAAGUCGUUCGACGUGAAACUCUACUGGAGCGAUCCGCGCGAGUUCGAACCUCGUCCGCAGCA